UGGCUCAGCAGUUAAGAGCACUGGCUGCCCUUCCAGUGGACCUGGGUUCAAUUCCCAG
rnacentral:tRNA from 1 species